rnacentral:rRNA from 1 species
UAGGGAAUCUUCCGCAAUGGGCGAAAGCCUGACGGAGCAACGCCGCGUGAGUGAUGAAGGUCUUAGGAUCGUAAAACUCUGUUAUUAGGGAAGAACAAACGUGUAAGUAACUGUGCACGUCUUGACGGUACCUAAUCAGAAAGCCACGGCUAACUACGUGCCAGCAGCCGCGGUAAUACGUAGGUGGCAAGCGUUAUCCGGAAUUAUUGGGCGUAAAGCGCGCGUAGGCGGUUUUUUAAGUCUGAUGUGAAAGCCCACGGCUCAACCGUGGAGGGUCAUUGGAAACUGGAAAACUUGAGUGCAGAAGAGGAAAGUGGAAUUCCAUGUGUAGCGGUGAAAUGCGCAGAGAUAUGGAGGAACACCAGUGGCGAAGGCGACUAUCUGGUCUGUAACUGACGCUGAUGUGCGAAAGCGUGGGGAUCAAACA